rnacentral:rRNA from 1 species
GGGGGGAGCAAGCGUUGUUCGGAAUCACUGGGCGUAAAGGGCGUGUAGGCGGUCAGGUAAGUGGGAUGUGAAAUCCCUCGGCUCACCCGAGGACCUGCAUCCCAAACUGCUUGGCUUGAGUAUGGGAGAGGAUGAGGGAAUUCCUGGUGUAGCGGUGAAAUGCGUAGAUAUCAGGAGGAACACCGGUGGCGAAGGCGCUCAUCUGGCCCAAUACUGACGCUGAGGCGCGAAAGCUAGGGGAGCAAACGGGAUUAGAUACCCCGGUAGUCCUAGCCGUAAACGGUGAUCACUAGGUGUUGGGGGCAUCGACCCCUCCAGUGCCGCAGCUAACGCAUUAAGUGAUCCGCCUGGGGAGUACGGCCGCAAGGUUGAA